rnacentral:rRNA from 1 species
GAUGAACGCUGGCGGCGUGCCUAAUACAUGCAAGUCGAGCGAACAGAUGAGGAGCUUGCUCCUCUGACGUUAGCGGCGGACGGGUGAGUAACACGUGGGUAACCUACCUAUAAGACUGGGAUAACUUCGGGAAACCGGGGCUAAUACCGGAUAAUAUAUUGAACCGCAUGGUUCAAUAGUGAAAGACGGUUUUGCUGUCACUUAUAGAUGGAUCCGCGCCGCAUUAGCUAGUUGGUAAGGUAACGGCUUACCAAGGCAACGAUGCGUAGCCGACCUGAGAGGGUGAUCGGCCACACUGGAACUGAGACACGGUCCAGACUCCUACGGGAGGCAGCAGUAGGGAAUCUUCCGCAAUGGGCGAAAGCCUGACGGAGCAACGCCGCGUGAGUGAUGAAGGUCUUCGGAUCGUAAAACUCUGUUAUUAGGGAAGAACAAAUGUGUAAGUAACUAUGCACGUCUUGACGGUACCUAAUCAGAAAGCCACGGCUAACUACGUG